CACGUAGGGUGCGAGCGUUGUCCGGAAUUAUUGGGCGUAAAGAGCUCGUAGGCGGCUUGUCGCGUCGUCCGUGAAAACCUGCGGCUCAACUGCAGGCUGGCGGUCGAUACGGGCAGGCUGGAGUUCGGUAGGGGAGACUGGAAUUCCUGGUGUAGCGGUGAAAUGCGCAGAUAUCAGGAGGAACACCAGUGGCGAAGGCGGCUCACUGGCCCGGUACUGACGCUGAGGUGCGAAAGCGUGGGGAGCAAACAGG
rnacentral:rRNA from 1 species